AAUAUUGAACAAUGGGGGAAAACCUGAUGCAGAGACGCCGCGUGAGCGAAGAAGGCCUACGGGUCNUAAAGCUCUGUCCUAAGGGANGAAACGGACGGUACCUUAGGAGGAAGCCACGGCUAACUACGUGCCAGCAGCCGCGGUAAUACGUAGGGGGCGAGCGUUAUCCGGAAUUAUUGGGCGUAAAGGGUGCGUAGGCGGCCUUUUAAGUCAGAUGGGAAAGGCUACGUCUUAACCGUAAUUAGCAUUUGAAACUAAAAGGCUUGAGUGCAGGAGAGGAGGGUGGAAUUCCUAGUGUAGCGGUGAAAUGCGUAGAUAUUAGGAGGAACACCAGUGGCGAAGGCGACUCUCUGGACUGCAACUGACGCUGUGUCACUAAAGCGUGGGUAGCGAAC
rnacentral:rRNA from 1 species